rnacentral:tRNA from 1 species
GGAUAUGGCUUAGUGGUAGACCACUUGCGUAGUAUACACAGAGCCCUGGGUUCAAUCCCCAGCACUACCCA